GACGAACCGUGCGAACGUUGUUCGGAUUCACUGGGCUUAAAGGGCGCGUAGGCGGGCUAUCAAGUCCGGGGUGAAAUCCUCCAGCUCAACUGGAGAACGGCCUCGGAUACUGAUGGUCUCGAGGGGGGUAGGGGCACGCGGAACUUCUGGUGGAGCGGUGAAAUGCGUUGAUAUCAGAAGGAACGCCGGUGGCGAAAGCGGCGGGCUGGACCUUUUCUGACGCUGAGGCGCGAAAGCCAGGGGAGCAAACGGG
rnacentral:rRNA from 1 species